GUGGCCGGGCCGCUGCCACUGGCCAGCCGUGCGCGCGCUCCCGCCGGGAAAGGAGCGCGAGGUUUUGAAGACGGCGCGGGGGGCGCGCGCCGGCCCCGGUCCGGGAUGGCGGAGGCCUUGAAUCAUUUAAAGAACAAGUACAGAGCAAGAUUCUGCCAUGGAGGAAGAAAUAAGAUUGAUCUACAGCCAGGUCAAAACAUACUGAAAGUCAUACAGGAUUGCUUUGAAAGUGGCAGCAGUGACCUUACAGUAAACUCUCCAAAUUGCUCAACCUUUAUUUUGAAAAAUGAGAAGGAGACUUCAGUACAGAGACAAAGGAUAAGUUCUUCCAAGGCAAGGUCAGCCAGCUCUGUGAAAAGAGCCCGUGAGUCUGCAGACCCCUCACCCGCAUUGCUGCUAAAACCAGUGAGCAGCAAAGCACAGUCAUGUGAAUCACACCUGAAGCCUGCAACACACCAUUAUGUGGCUGCUUCUGAAAAAACAGAGACUCCUAUGUCUAAAAGUAAAAAAAAAAAUACACUAAAAGAUGUUGAAGCACCGUGCCAGCAUCCAGCAGUGCCUUUGGACUCUGGGAAUAAUCGUGGGUCUGUUGGAACACCUCUUCCUGUGGAGGAAGCAGAAGGUUCUCCUGUAGUUAAAUUGCAUUUUGAUAACUGGAGUACGCCAGCUGCUGCAAAGAGCCAUGGAGAAGUUGAAAAAUUGGAAGGACCUCAGCCUGGGAGACAUGAGCAGGCUGUUCCUGUGCAAGGAGCAAAAUGUGUUACUGCAUCAUCUGCCCGGGCAGAGACGUCUUUCUCUGCAGCUGUCUUAGCAGCUGUAGCCACAAGAACGCUUGGAAAGAGAUAUUCAACCUCAGUAUCACCACCAUCACCUCAUCCUGUGAAACAUCAAAAUAUAGAAAUAGAAAAUGAAUGUGAAUUUUCAAUUGAUGAAUCAGAUGGUGCAUCUUCUCCUUCUUGGAUUUCGAUACCCACUAAGAGCAAAAAAUCAAAAAAUGGUGGCUCUGCAACUCCCAUUUCUAAGCCUCAGCCCUCUGGAAAGGAGAAGACACAGAAUAAGAAAGUCAAGAACAGAAAAGUACAGGUUAAAGCACUUACUAAACAGAAACUGGAUCAUCUGGAUGUUGGAGCUUUUAACUUCAAAGAAGCAUCAGAGUCAGAUCCAAUCCCUGAUAGUGAAGAAAAUGUCCUUACAUCUCAAAGCCAAAAGAGUAUUCAUAUUGGAAAGACUAAAAAGGAUGCACUUAGACGAGAUUCUCCAAACCAGGAAAAGAGCACAUUCUGGGAACCAGAAGCUGAAGAGCAGAUGUUGUCAUGGUCUGGAUUGGAAACAGAACCAUCUGAUGAAAAGCAGUGUAAAACAAAGAUGCUUCCAAGUGAGGAUUUGCCUAUGCCCUCAUCUGGGCAUCAGGAAGAGCAGUCUGUGCCACUGAAAAAGUCUCUCCAGUCUUCCAAGGAUAUGCAGUUGGCUUCUAAAGCUUCUCAGCAUUUAGUUAAGAAGAAACAAACUGCUAAGCAGAGACUUCCAAAAGUCAAAGUAGCUAAGAGAGGGACAGUAAGUCCAGGGAAGUGGCUUAAAUUAUCUGACCAGCAAAGUAGUAAUAAAAAGCCUCAGUUACAAAGAGAGGAGAGUUCUGACAAUGAACCUGGUGAAGACGAGCUUGAAAGAGAACCUGUAGGACUGAAUGAAAUGUGCACCACACCAUUGCAUCAGAAAUUAGAGACUCCUGCGAUUCAGAAGUUGACCAAGUCCAAAAAGCCUAGAAAUGUGUUACACACACCAGAGUCACCUGGUGAUGCAAAUAACAGAACUCCUCUAAAAGCACUCCAGCAUCCCAUGGAGAGUGUGAGGAAUCCUGAAAAGAAGCGUACGUCUGCCAAGUCUUCAGGGAAGAUACCCAAAAAGAUUCCAAGUAGAACCAAUAAUGCUCUUUCCUCAAGCUCUGAAGGCACUGAGUCUCAAACAGAUUCUGACAGCACUUCUGUACAGGACAUGUCAAGGAAAAAACAGAAGUUAUCAGAUGUGAAAAUAAAAAGUAACAAAAGAAAACGUAACAGACAGUAUGGACCACAGGGUUCCUUUGUAGCUGGGAAGGUUGUGAGUUGUGAAAGUGGGCCUGUUAUAGAAGAUAGUGAUAAAUUUGCUUCCAGCACAAAAUCUCCUGAACAGGAUGCAUCUUCAGAUAAUUCUGAAGAUUUGAAUUACAAAUUAAAACAUCUGUUGUCAGACGAAAUAGCAAGGCAUAAAAUAGUAAUGCCUUCCAACACUCCUAAUGUUCGUCGGACAAAAAGGAUACGGCUGAGACCUCUGGAAUAUUGGAGAGGCGAGCGCAUAAACUACACUAUGAAGUCGUCAGGAGGGCUUGUGAUUAGUGGGCUAGUGCAUCCAGAAACAAAACCUCUCAGGAAGAGUAAAAGGAGGAAGGAUUUUCCCAAGCAGAAAAGAGAUAACACAAAUAGAAGAGAGAUACCUGCAAGUUUGGACCACAGCCUAGCUGAUGCAUCUAAGCCAGCCAUUGUACUGGACCCAGUAACAAAUAAGGAAGUGUGUGUAGAUUGUAUAAACACUGCAAGCAGUCACACUUACUUCUUCAAAGAUGAAGCAGUAGAAAUAUACAAAAAUUUGAAUACAUCUCUUUUUGCAACUGGUAGAUUGAUUCUGAAACCAUAUAAAGAAAAAGGGCACCAGUUUGUCCACAUGGAUACAAUCGCUUUCUAUAUUAUCCAUGGCAAAGUUAUUGUAACAUUACAUAAGGCAUCGUAUUACCUGACUGCAGGAGACUGCUUCUAUGUUCCAGCAGAAAUGUUUGAGUCGGCCCACCCUAACAUUACAACUGAAUACAGAGCAGCUGAAUCAACGUAAGAAGAGUUGAGGAAAAAAACCCAGAAGAACAUUGGUAAUUUGCUGUCAAACUGAAAUUGCAAAGUGAAGGGCCUUGCUCUGCAUCAGUUACUGUUCUUGUGCCAUCCAGUGACAGAAAGAUAAAAGUAUGAAAUGUAGAAACAAGAAAUACGUUGUUGGACGCCUCUUCCCCAUAACUUUACCUGCAAAUUGAAGAUCAUCUAAUGCAGAGGAGUUCUAAAGAAUAUUGAACAUUUUCAUCUGACACCCCAGUUUUAGGGGCAUGUUGUUUCAUUGAUCUUAAAGAUCUUUCUUCAGUGUAAAUGCUACAUACAUAGUUUGUUAUGAGUUAUCUUUUCUUUUGUAUCAAUAAAUAUUAAGUAAUGCAAAUCAGUUUUGAUUUAUUUGUUUAAAAAUAAUUUUAGAAUCAAUUUUCUAGCAUUCCAUGUGGUUUUAAAAAUGCAAGUAAUUACAUGAGUUUGACCUGUAAAUACUUAUUAAUAAAUACCUGAGUUAUCUUGA